UACGUAGGGCGCAAGCGUUGUCCGGAAUUAUUGGGCGUAAAGAGCUCGUAGGCGGUUUGUCGCGUCUGUCGUGAAAGCCCACGGCUUAACCGUGGGUCUGCGGUGGAUACGGGCAGACUAGAGGCAGGUAGGGGAGAAUGGAAUUCCCGGUGUAGCGGUGAAAUGCGCAGAUAUCGGGAGGAACACCGGUGGCGAAGGCGGUUCUCUGGGCCUUACCUGACGCUGAGGAGCGAAAGCGUGGGGAGCGAACAGG
rnacentral:rRNA from 1 species